GAUGAACGCUGGCGGCGUGCCUAAUACAUGCAAGUCGAGCGAACAGACGAGGAGCUUGCUCCUCUGACGUUAGCGGCGGACGGGUGAGUAACACGUGGAUAACCUACCUAUAAGACUGGGAUAACUUCGGGAAACCGGAGCUAAUACCGGAUCAUAUAUUGAACCGCAUGGUUCAAUAGUGAAAGACGGUUUUGCUGUCACUUAUAGAUGGAUCCGCGCCGCAUUAGCUAGUUGGUAAGGUAACGGCUUACCAAGGCAACGAUGCGUAGCCGACCUGAGAGGGUGAUCGGCCACACUGGAACUGAGACACGGUCCAGACUCCUACGGGAGGCAGCAGUAGGGAAUCUUCCGCAAUGGGCGAAAGCCUGACGGAGCAACGCCGCGUGAGUGAUGAAGGUCUUCGGAUCGUAAAACUCUGUUAUUAGGGAAGAACAAUGUGUAAGUAACUAUGCACGUCUUGACGGUACCUAAUCAGAAAGCCACGGCUAACUACGUG
rnacentral:rRNA from 1 species